AUUGAGCGCUGGCGGAAUGCUUUACACAUGCAAGUCGAACGGCAGCACGGGGGCAACCCUGGUGGCGAGUGGCGAACGGGUGAGUAAUACAUCGGAACGUGCCCAGUCGUGGGGGAUAACGUAGCGAAAGUUACGCUAAUACCGCAUACGAUCUACGGAUGAAAGCGGGGGACCGUAAGGCCUCGCGCGCUUGGAGCGGCCGAUGUCAGAUUAGGUAGUUGGUGAGGGAAAGGCUCACCAAGCCGACGAUCUGUAGCUGGUCUGAGAGGACGACCAGCCACACUGGGACUGAGACACGGCCCAGACUCCUACGGGAGGCAGCAGUGGGGAAUUUUGGACAAUGGGCGCAAGCCUGAUCCAGCCAUUCCGCGUGCAGGACGAAGGCCUUCGGGUUGUAAACUGCUUUUGUACGGAACGAAAAGGCUCUGGUUAAUACCUGGGGCUCAUGACGGUACCGUAAGAAUAAGCACCGGCUAACUACGUGCCAGCAGCCGCCGCAG
rnacentral:rRNA from 1 species